UUGCUGGCAGUAAUUUAGUGACUUAAAGCAGAGUUUACCUGAAUGUUUUAAAAUGUACAUUUCAAAAACUCCAUGUUUGUUUUUGUCUAACAAGUUAUAAUAUUAGUAAUUAGUAGUCAUAUAUGGUUUUAAAACUAUAUUGAUGAAGGUCUGUGCUUUGAUUUGAAUAGGAUAUGAAUACUUUUGGAUCUAAUAAUGAAUGGUAAUUUUUUCUGCCCAUAUAGAAAGUGCUGGUAUUUGAAGUUGUUAAACUUAUUUUCUUAUCUACAAAGAUUGCCAAUGAUUUACAAAUGUCAUGGAAUUACUUUCUGUGAAAAAUGUUUUGAGAAUCAUAUCAGUAUCUAUUAUGCAUGUAAUGAUUAAAGCCUGGUUAAAUGCAGUUUUCCCCAGAGGCAAAGAGGAAGCUAGAUGUGUUAGAGGAAACACAGGUAGUAAGGUCAUACCCAGUUAGUCCAGGUAGUCAAUAUGCUAAGUUAACAUUAAUAAAACUCUUGAAACAGAAUAUGUAAUAGACUCAGGACUUCUUUAUUGUGGAAUUGGCUAACAGAUGGAUUAAUUCAUAUAGGUAUGUAUUGAGUACCUAGUGUGUACCAAGCACUGUUCUAUGACUUCAGUAGUGAAUAUGACAGACAUAGCAGUCUUGCUUUCACAGAGCAUUUUAAUUCUUAUUGAAGGAAUUUAACAGUAAAAUGUCCAAGUCUGGCAUGCCACUCUUUCACCUGUGUCAGGGACCUGUGGCAUAGUCUCUAGACACAGUUGGUGGUACUUUAUUGAGAUUCCUUCAUAGACAGCUAUAUAAUAAGUUAAAGAAAAUUAUAAGGUCUAAUUGAUACUUUAGGUGCCUUCUAAAAUUCCACGGGUGUUGGACAUCUGCAAAAUUCACAGACAAAAAGGGAACAUCUCCAGAGGAGAAGAUUCCGAAGUCACCCUUGAAGAUAAUGAAAUAAGUCAAGCUUUACCAUUGAACUUUUGUUAACCAAUAUACUGUCAGAAAA